rnacentral:misc_RNA from 1 species
CUGCAAGAGGGGAAGUUGCUACUGUGAUGAAUUCUGCCAUGUGGCACCAGACUGCCACCCAGACCACAGUGUCCUCUGCAACCCUGCUUCUCAGAUGACCAAGAUGGUGCUGCAGAUGGUGCUGAGGAUGGAGAACCCACCAAGCCCCGCUAGGAGCCACCUAGACUGGAUGCAGAGCAUGGAUUCUGGAUGUAUACAGAUGCUCUUCAUCUUAGGAAGGGGUUACGUCCCAAUAAACACGUGGCUAAAACCUUUGAAGAAGAAUUUAUUAUAUCCUACAAACCUGGGAGGCAGAGGUUGCAGUGAGCCAAGAUUGGGCCAUCGCACUCCAGCCUGGGCAAUAAGAAUGAAACUCUGUCUCAAAAAAAACAAAAGUUGGCCAGGGCUGGGCGUGGUGGCUCACACCUGUAAUCCCAGCACGUCAAAG